ACAUUAUAUUGGACACUAUUUAUAAUAAUAAUUAUUAUUAUUACAUAUUUACUUACAGUGGUGGAUUUGAGGAUAGGUUACAUGGCGUUCGGCUCCUUGCCUCUUUAGAUUCUUAUUUUAAACUGCCAUUGUGAAGUAAGUACAUCAAUAUUUAAUAGGUACUCAAGGUGGUAAGUGCAGGAGAAAGGAGGGUUCAACGGUGUAUAUUUGAACGUAAGAAAUACAAGC